AUUGAACGCUGGCGGCAGGCCUAACACAUGCAAGUCGAGCGGAUGAAGGGAGCUUGCUCCUGGAUUCAGCGGCGGACGGGUGAGUAAUGCCUAGGAAUCUGCCUGGUAGUGGGGGAUAACGUCCGGAAACGGGCGCUAAUACCGCAUACGUCCUGAGGGAGAAGGUGGGGGAUCUUCGGACCUCACGCUAUCAGAUGAGCCUAGGUCGGAUUAGCUAGUUGGUGGGGUAAAGGCCUACCAAGGCGACGAUCCGUAACUGGUCUGAGAGGAUGAUCAGUCACACUGGAAAUGAGACACGGGCCAGAGACCUACGGGAGGCAGCAGUGUGGAAUAUUGGAGAAUGGGGGAAAACGUGAGACAGAGAUGCGGCGUGUGUGAAGAAGGUCUUCGGAUUGUAAAGCACUUUAAGUUGGGAGGAAGGGCAGUAAGUUAAUACCUUGCUGUUUUGACGUUACCAACAGAAUAAGCACCGGCUAACUUCGUG
rnacentral:rRNA from 1 species